rnacentral:tRNA from 1 species
GCAGGUGUACCCCAACCGGAAGAGGGAAUUGUUUCAAAAACAAAAAAGUAUGAGUUCAAAUCUCAUCACCUGUA